UACAGAGGUCUCAAGCGUUGUUCGGAUUCAUUGGGCGUAAAGGGUGCGUAGGCGGCGCGGUAAGUCCGGGGUGUGAAAUCUCGGAGCUUAACUCCGAAACUGACAUUCGAUACUGCCGUGCUUGAGGACUGGAGAGGAGACGUGGAAUUUACGGUGUAGCGGUGAAAUGCGUAGAUAUCGUAAGGAAGACCAGUGGCGAAGGCGGG
rnacentral:rRNA from 1 species